UGGGGAAUAUUGGACAAUGGGCGAAAGCCUGAUCCAGCCAUGCCGCGUGUGUGAAGAAGGCCUUUUGGUUGUAAAGCACUUUAAGUGGGGAGGAAAAGCUUAUGGUUAAUACCCAUAAGCCCUGACGUUACCCACAGAAUAAGCACCGGCUAACUCUGUGCCAGCAGCCGCGGUAAUACAGAGGGUGCAAGCGUUAAUCGGAAUUACUGGGCGUAAAGCGCGCGUAGGUGGUUAUUUAAGUCAGAUGUGAAAGCCCCGGGCUUAACCUGGGAACUGCAUCUGAUACUGGAUAACUAGAGUAGGUGAGAGGGGAGUAGAAUUCCAGGUGUAGCGGUGAAAUGCGUAGAGAUCUGGAGGAAUACCGAUGGCGAAGGCAGCUCCCUGGCAUCAUACUGACGCUGAGGUGCGAAAGCGUGGGUAGCAAACAGGAUUAGAUACCCUGGUAGUCCACGCCGUAAACGAUGUCUACCAGUCGUUGGGUCUUUUAAAGACUUAGUGACGCAGUUAACGCAAUAAGUAGACCGCCUGGGGAGUACGGCCGCAAGGUUA
rnacentral:rRNA from 1 species